UGAGGGAUAUUGGGCAAUGGGGGAAACCCUGACCCAGCGACGCCGCGUGAGGGAAGAAGGCCUUCGGGUUGUAAACUUCUGUCGUACGGGACGAUAAUGACGGUACCGUACAAGAAAGCCACGGCUAACUACGUGCCAGCAGCCGCGGUAAAACGUAGGUGGCAAGCGUUGUCCGGAAUUACUGGGUGUAAAGGGAGCGCAGGCGGACUAGCAAGUUGGAAGUGAAAUCUAUGGGCUCAACCCAUAAAUUGCUUUCAAAAUCUGCCGGUCUUGAGUAGUGCAGAGGUAGGCGGAAUUCCCGGUGUAGCGGUGGAAUGCGUAGAUAUCGGGAGGAACACCAGUGGCGAAGGCGGCCUACUGGGCACCAACUGACGCUGAGGCUCGAAAGUAUGGGUAGCAAACAGGAUUAGAUACC
rnacentral:rRNA from 1 species